rnacentral:rRNA from 1 species
AUUGAACGCUGGCGGCAGGCCUAACACAUGCAAGUCGAACGGUAACAGGAAACAGCUUGCCGUUUCGCUGACGAGUGGCGGACGGGUGAGUAAUGUCUGGGAAACUGCCUGAUGGAGGGGGAUAACUACUGGAAACGGUAGCUAAUACCGCAUAACGUCGCAAGACCAAAGAGGGGGACCUUCGGGCCUCUUGCCAUCGGAUGUGCCCAGAUGGGAUUAGCUAGUAGGUGGGGUAACGGCUCACCUAGGCGACGAUCCCUAGCUGGUCUGAGUGGAUGACCAGCCACACUGGAACUGAGACACGGUCCAGACUCCUACGGGAGGCAGCAGUGGGGAAUAUUGCACAAUGGGCGCAAGCCUGAUGCAGCCAUGCCGCGUGUAUGAAGAAGGCCUUCGGGUUGUAAAGUACUUUCAGCGGGGAGGAAGGGAGUAAAGUUAAUACCUUUACUCAUUGACGUUACCCGCAGAAGAAGCACCGGCUAACUCCGUG